rnacentral:rRNA from 1 species
AACGAACGCUGGCGGCAUGCCUAACACAUGCGAGUCGAACGAGACCUUCGGGUCUAGUGGCGCACGGGUGCGUAACGCGUGGGAACCUGCCCUUAGGUUCGGAAUAACUCCCCGAAAGGGGUGCUAAUACCGGAUAAUGUCUUCGGACCAAAGAUUUAUCGCCUUUGGAUGGGCCCGCGUUGGAUUAGCUAGUUGGUAGGGUAAAAGCCUACCAAGGCGACGAUCCAUAGCUGGUCUGAGAGGAUGAUCAGCCACACUGGGACUGAGACACAGCCCAGACUCCUACGGGAGGCAGCAGUGGGGAAUAUUGGACAAUGGGCGAAAGCCUGAUCCAGCAAUGCCGCGUGAGUGAUGAAGGCCUUAGGGUUGUAAAGCUCUUUUACCCGGGAUGAUAAUGACAGUACCGGGAGAAUAAGCGCCGGCUAACUCCGUG